AACGAACGCUGGCGGCAUGCCUAACACAUGCAAGUCGAACGAGAUCUUCGGGUCUAGUGGCGCACGGGUGCGUAACGCGUGGGAAUCCGCCCUUUGGUUCGGAAUAACUGUUGGAAACGACUGCUAAUACCGGAUGAUGACGAAAGUCCAAAGAUUUAUCGCCAGAGGAUGAGCCCGCGUAGGAUUAGCUAGUUGGUGUGGUAAAGGCGCACCAAGGCGACGAUCCUUAGCUGGUCUGAGAGGAUGAUCAGCCACACUGGGACUGAGACACGGCCCAGACUCCUACGGGAGGCAGCAGUGGGGAAUAUUGGACAAUGGGCGAAAGCCUGAUCCAGCAAUGCCGCGUGAGUGAUGAAGGCCUUAGGGUUGUAAAGCUCUUUUACCCGGGAUGAUAAUGACAGUACCGGGAGAAUAAGCUCCGGCUAACUCCGUGCCAGCCGCCGCAGUAA
rnacentral:rRNA from 1 species